UUUGCCGCUUUGGAGCAGAAAGUGGCUGGGAUGCAAGCAGAGGAACGUCAUGCAUGUGUCCUGAUGGAUGAGAUUCAAAUCUCACCAGGGCUUGAUUAUGAUGCGUCAACCGGAAGCAUUAUAGGGCAGCCAACAAUAGGGCCAUCAAACGCAGCUACCAAAGAGGCACUUGCUACCCAUGCUCUCGUGUUCAUGUUGGCGGGCAUCACAAGUCGCUGGAAGCAAGCUGUUGCUUACCAUUUCACAUCCUCCUCCUUUGAUGCCGAGCAAGUUAAACAGUGCCUUUUCAAUGUGAUACGAAGAGCAGAAAGUGCUGGUGUAACAGUGAGUGCAGUGGUGACAGACAUGGGGCCCGGAAACACUGCUAUCUGGCGACUAUGUGGAAUUCAUGCUUCCAAGUAUGGGAAACCGAGAACUUCUUGCCCUCACCCAUGUGGCAAUGG
rnacentral:lncRNA from 1 species